AGGGUUUGAUCCUGGCUCAGGAUGAACGCUAGCGGCAGGCUUAACACAUGCAAGUCGAGGGGUAGAUUUUCUUCGGAGAAUUGAGACCGGCGCACGGGUGCGUAACGCGUAUGCAACUUACCUUAUACUGGGGGAUAGCCCGGAGAAAUUCGGAUUAAUACCGCAUAUGCUCACAGUUUCGCAUGGAACAGUGAGGAAAGAUUUAUCGGUAUAAGAUAGGCAUGCGUCCUAUUAGCUUGUUGGUGAGGUAACGGCUCACCAAGGCGAUGAUAGGUAGGGGGCCUGAGAGGGUGGUCCCCCACACUGGUACUGAGACACGGACCAGACUCCUACGGGGAGGCAGCCAGUGAGGAAUAUUGGGCAAUGGAGGCAACUCUGACCCAGCUUAUGCCGCGUGAAGGAUGAAGGUCCUCUGGAUUGUAAACUUCUUUUGUAUGGGGAUAAACUUUUCUACGUGUAGAAAACUGAAGGUACCAUACGAAUAAGGAUCGGCUAACUCCGUGCCAGCAGCCGCGGUAAUACGGAGGAUCCAAGCGUUAUCCGGAUUUCUUGGGUUUAAAGGGUCC
rnacentral:rRNA from 1 species